ensembl:lncRNA
CUCCAGGGUGCGGGACGGGACCCAGGUCUGCUGGUGCCUCUCCAGCUCCUCUCUCCCAGGAACUUUGGCUUUGUCCUAACCUGGCUUGGAGGAUGCCCCAGCACCCUAAUGCCUGAGGCCCAAACCUCCACCUUUUGUGUGUUUCCACGGACAUGGCACCCACCCUCUGCAUUCUUUAAUUUGUUCAUUCAGUCAUUCAUUCAAAUAACACCUGAGUUCCCUUGAGGAGACGGCACAAGAGGGAGGACAGGAAGCCGGGCGUGAUCAGAGUGGAGCCGAGUGGAGAGUGGACUGAGGACAAGAUGGGAAAGGACAGUGAAGGUGAACAUAUUUCAAACAAGGAGGACUUCUGUGGUGUGUGAUGCCAGAGGGGACAUUGAACUGAGUAGGAGACACAGUGCGUGCCCCCAUGGUUGGGACACUGCUCCAGGCUCCAUCGCCUGGCUCCGGCUGACAAAGGUUUUGGAAGGAACAAAGGUGAGUUCUGGGCUAAUCUGCAGGUUCAAGGCUCAUGGGGCCUCAGAGGGGCUUGACAAAAGGAGGGAAGGCAGGAAGAACGCUGUGGGAGGGGGGAGGGGUCCUUCCACAUUUCCACCCCCAACUACAGGGAGGGGAAUGGGGGCUCCCACCCUGAUGAGUCUUACCUGUUUUCAUAAGGCCUGUUGUAUGAGUUCAUUUUUCAUUACUGUGAUGAAGUAGCUGAAGUGGGCUACCUCAGAGUUUGGGAGGCUGGCACAGGGUCUUGGGAUGGCCCCUUCAGCUGUGCCACUUGGUGGAAGAUGGCCUUCUUGCUGACAGUCCCAAGGCAGCACAGAGCAUCACAUAGCCAGAGAUAGGGAGCGUGCGUGUGUAUGUGUGUGUGCAUGCAUGCGUGUGUGUGCAUACAUGUGUGCAUGUGUGUGGGUGCAUGUGUGUGUGUGUGCAUGUGUGUGGGUGUCUGUGGCUCUUCCCCUCCUCUUUUGGAGCCACUAGGCUUCGAUCAGGGGCUUCACUGGGGUGAUUUCAUCUAAUUCUUUUUUUUUUUUAACUUUUAUUUAGCAAAUACAAAUUUCCAAAGUACAGUUUAUGGAUUACAAUGGCUUCCCCCCCCCCCCGAUAACUUCCCUCCUACCCGCAACCCUCCCAUCUCCCACUCCCUCUCCCAUUCCAUUCACAUCAAGAUUCAUUUUCAAUUCUCUUUAUAUACAGAAGAUCAAUUCAGCAUAUAUUAAGUAAAGAUUUCAUCAGUUUGCACCCACACAGAAACACAAAGUGUAAGAUACUGUUUCAGUACUAGUUAUAGCAUUUAUUCGCUACAUGAGGACUAAGUGCACAGUGACUCCUGUUGUUGACUUAACAAUUUGACACUCUUGUUUAUGGCGUCAGUAAUCUCCCUAGGCUCUAGUCAUGAGUUGCCAAGGCUAUGGAAGCCUUUUGAGUUCGCUGACUUUGAUCUUAUUUAGACAAGGUCGUAGUUAAAGUGGAAGUUCUCUCCUCCCAUCAGAGAAAGGUACCUCCUUCUUUGAUGGCCCGUUCGUUUGUUCUUUCCUUUUUUUUUUUUUUUUUUUUUUGCCUGAGUGUCUUGGCUUUCCAUGCCUAAAAUACUCUCAUGGGCUCUUCAGCCAGAUCCGAAUACCUUAAGGGCCUAUUCUGAGGCUGUUUAGGACAUCUGCCAUUCUGUGAGUCUGCUGUGUAUCCGACUUCCCAUGUUGGAUUGUUC